ensembl:snRNA U1 U1 spliceosomal RNA
AUACUUACCUGCCAGGGCAGACACCAUGAUCAGAAAGGUGGUUUUCCCAGGGCGGGGCUCAUCCACUGCACUUGGGAUGUGCUGACCUGGUGAUUUCCCCAAAUGCAGGAAACCCAACUGUAUAAUUUAUGGUAGUGGGGGACUGCAUUUAUGCUCUCCCCUG